UACGUAGGGUGCAGGCGUUAAUCGGAAUUACUGGGCGUAAAGCGUGCGCAGGCGGUUUGCUAAGAGAGAUGUGAAAUCCCCGGGCUUAACCUGGGAACUGCGUUUCUAACUGGCAGGCUUGAGUGUGGCAGAGGGGGGUGGAAUUCCACGUGUAGCAGUGAAAUGCGUAGAUAUCUGGAGGAACACCGGUGGCGAAGGCGGCAUCCUGGACCGGCAUUGACGCUGAGGCGCGAAAGCCAGGGGAGCAAACGGG
rnacentral:rRNA from 1 species